AAAUCCUUUCAGCCUUUUAGCUAAGAUCAAGCACUGUAUUUGUUCUUAUCAGUUUAAUAUCUGAUACGUCCUUUUUCUACGGACCAAUUGAUUUUUGGAUCAGGGAGGUGGAAUAGGGGCUUGCUCCGUCCACUCCACACAUCGACCCAAUAUUUCAGUGUCUCAGAGAGGGUGACACGGUG